rnacentral:rRNA from 1 species
CGAAUCCUGACACAGGGAGGUAGUGACAAGAAAUAACAAUACAGGGCUACUUCUAGUCUUGUAAUUGGAAUGAGUACAACUUACAUCUCUUCACGAGGAUCAAUUGGAGGGCAAGUCUGGUGCCAGCAGCCGCGGUAAUUCCAGCUCCAAUAGCGUAUAUUAAAAGUUGUUGCAGUUAAAAAGCUCGUAGUCGGAUUUCGGGUCGGGCCGAGCGGUCUGCCGAUGGGUAUGCACUGUUUGGCGCGGCCUUCUUUCCGGAGACCGCGGCUACUCUUAAMUGAGCGGGGCGUGGGAGACGGAUCGUUUACUUUGAAAAAAUCAGAGUGUUUCAAGCAGGCAGCUCGCUCUUGCAUGGAUUAGCAUGGGAUAAUUGAAUAGGACUCUGGUGCUAUUUUGUUGGUUUCGAACACCGGAGUAAUGAUUAACAGGGACAGUC